rnacentral:rRNA from 1 species
AACGAACGCUGGCGGCAUGCCUAACACAUGCAAGUCGAACGAGACCUUCGGGUCUAGUGGCGCACGGGUGCGUAACGCGUGGGAACCUGCCCUUAGGUUCGGAAUAACUCCCCGAAAGGGGUGCUAAUACCGGAUAAUGUCUUAGGACCAAAGAUUUAUCGCCUUUGGAUGGGCCCGCGUUGGAUUCGCUAGUUGGUAGGGUAAAAGCCUACCAAGGCGACGAUCCAUAGCUGGUCUGAGAGGAUGAUCAGCCACACUGGGACUGAGACACGGCCCAGACUCCUACGGGAGGCAGCAGUGGGGAAUAUUGGACGAUGGGCGAAAGCCUGAUCCAGCAAUGCCGCGUGAGUGAUGAAGGCCUUAGGGUUGUAAAGCUCUUUUACCCGGGAUGAUAAUGACAGUACCGGGAGAAUAAGCUCCGGCUAACUCCGUG